AGCAGUGUGUCUCAAUAGAAAGAGUCUGGGCUUGGGAGUCAGAGGUCAUGGGUUCGAAUCCCGGCUCUGCCA
rnacentral:tRNA from 1 species